rnacentral:rRNA from 1 species
GAUGAACGCUGGCGGCGCGCCUAACACAUGCAAGUCGAACGAUUAAAGCACCUUCGGGUGUGUAUAAAGUGGCGAACGGCUGAGUAACACGUGGGCAACCUGCCCCUUUCAUUGGGAUAGCCACGGGAAACCGUGGAUAAUACCGAAUACUUCGAGACUUCCGCAUGGAAGACUCGAGAAAGCUCCGGCGGAGAGGGAUGGGCCCGCGGCCUGUUAGCUUGUUGGUGGGGUAACGGCCUACCAAGGCAAUGAUGGGUAGCUGGGUUGAGAGACCGACCAGCCAGAUUGGGACUGAGACACGGCCCAGACUCCUACGGGAGGCAGCAGUGGGGAAUCUUGCACGAUGGGCGAAAGCCUGAUGCAGCGACGCCGCGUGCGGGAUGAAGGCCUUCGGGUUGUAAACCGCUUUCAGCAGGGACGAGGCGAAAGUGACGGUACCUGCAGAAGAAGCCCCGGCUAACUACGUG